rnacentral:tRNA from 1 species
GCCUGGGUGGCUCAGUCAGUUAGGCAUCUGACUUCAGCUCAGGUCAUUGUCUCGUGGUUUGUGGGAUCGAGUCCCGUGUCAGGCU